rnacentral:rRNA from 1 species
CUGGCGGCGUGCCUAAUACAUGCAAGUCGAACGGUCUUUCUAUGGAGGCUUGCUUCCACUGAGAAGAUAGUGGCGAACGGGUGAGUAACACGUGGGUAACCUGCCCAUAAGAGGGGGAUAACAUCCGGAAACGGGUGCUAAUACCGCAUAGUUUUCUUGAUUGCAUGAUUGAGAAAGGAAAGACGGCCUUUGUGCUGUCGCUUAUGGAUGGACCCGCGGCGUAUUAGUUAGUUGGUGAGGUAACGGCUCACCAAGACGAUGAUACGUAGCCGACCUGAGAGGGUGAUCGGCCACAUUGGGACUGAGACACGGCCCAAACUCCUACGGGAGGCAGCAGUAGGGAAUCUUCCGCAAUGGACGAAAGUCUGACGGAGCAACGCCGCGUGAGUGAAAGAAGGUUUUCGGAUCGUAAAACUCUGUUGUCAGAGAAGAACAAGUUGGAGAGUAACUGCUCCAGCCUUGACGGUAUCUGACCAGAAAGCCACGGCUAACUACGUGCCAGCCGCCGC